rnacentral:rRNA from 1 species
UACGGAGGGUGCAAGCGUUGCUCGGAAUUAUUGGGCGUAAAGGGUAGGUAGGUGGUCUCGUUUGUCUAGGGUAAAAUCCCUGAGCUUAACUCAGGACUGUCCCUAGAAACGGCGAGACUGGAGUACUGGAGAGGAUCGCAGAAUUCCCGGUGUAGCGGUGAAAUGCGUAGAGAUCGGGAGGAAUACCAGAGGCGAAGGCGGCGGUCUGGACAGUUACUGACACUCAACUACGAAAGCGUGGGGAGCAAACAGG